ensembl:rRNA 5S_rRNA 5S ribosomal RNA
GGCCACAGCAAUAUCCCCAUGUAGCCCAUUACUGGUUGUGCACAGUAGCUAAGCAGGAUUGUGCCUGGUCAGUACCUGGAUGGGAGACCUCAUGGGAAAACUAGGUUGCUGUUGGAA